CGGGGCGUGGCUCAGUUUGGUAGAGCGCCUGAAUGGGGUUCAGGAGGCCGCAAGUUCGAUUCUUGUCGCUCCGA
rnacentral:tRNA from 1 species